rnacentral:rRNA from 1 species
CACGUAGGCGGAUAGGUAAGUCAGAUGUGAAAUCCCGGGGCUCAACUUCGGAACUGCAUUUGAUACUGCCUGUCUUGAGUGUGGUAGAGGGGGGUGGAAUUCCCGGUGUAGAGGUGAAAUUCGUAGAUAUCGGGAGGAACACCAGAGGCGAAGGCGACCCCCUGGGCCACUACUGACGCUGAGGUGCGAAAGCGUGGGGAGCAAACA